rnacentral:rRNA from 1 species
CCUACGCGAGGCUGCAGUGGGGGAUAUUGCACAAUGGGUGAAACCCUGAUGCAGCGACGCCGUGUGUGGGAAGACGGUCCUCUGGAUUGUAAACCACUGUCCCCAGGGACGAAGAUGACGGUACCUGGGGCGGAAGCUCCGGCUAACUACGUGCCAGCAGACGCGGUAAUACGUAGGGAGCGAGCGUUGUCCGGAAUUACUGGGUGUAAAGGGAGCGUAGGCGGGACUGCAAGUUGGGUGUCACAUCUACCGGCUCAACCGGUAGCCCCACUCAAAACUGCAGUUCUUGAGUGAAGUAGAGGCAGGCUGAAUUCCUAGUGUAGCGGUGAAAUGCGUAGGUAUUAGGAGGAAAAGCAGUGGUGAAGGCGGCCUGCUGGGCUUUUACUGACGCUGAGGCUCGAAAGUGUGGGGGGCAAACAGGAUUAGAUACCCUGGUAGUC